AUCUCUGUGGCUCAAAGGGUUGGCGUGUUUGGCUGUCAAUCAAAAGGCUGGGGUUCAAGCCCACACUGGGAUA